CAGAGCAAUCUGUGUGACUGCGUACCUUUUGUAUAAUGGGUCAGCGACUUAUAUUCUGUAGCAAGGUUAACCGAAUAGGGGAGCCGAAGGGAAACCGAGUCUUAACUGGGCGUUAAGUUGCAGGGUAUAGACCCGAAACCCGGUGAUCUAGCCAUGGGCAGGUUGAAGGUUGGGUAACACUAACUGGAGGACCGAACCGACUAAUGUUGAAAAAUUAGCGGAUGACUUGUGGCUGGGGGUGAAAGGCCAAUCAAACCGGGAGAUAGCUGGUUCUCCCCGAAAGCUAUUUAGGUAGCGCCUCGUGAAUUCAUCUCCGGGGGUAGAGCACUGUUUCGGCAAGGGGGUCAUCCCGACUUACCAACCCGAUGCAAACUGCGAAUACCGGAGAAUGUUAUCACGGGAGACACACGGCGGGUGCUAACGUCCGUCGUGAAGAGGGAAACAACCCAGACCGCCAGCUAAGGUCCCAAAGUCAUGGUUAAGUGGGAAACGAUGUGGGAAGGCCCAGACAGCCAGGAUGUUGGCUUAGAAGCAGCCAUCAUUUAAAGAAAGCGUAAUAGCUCACUGGUCGAGUCGGCCUGCGCGGAAGAUGUAACGGGGCUAAACCAUGCACCGAAGCUGCGGCAGCGACGCUUAUGCGUUGUUGGGUAGGGGAGCGUUCUGUAAGCCUGUGAAGGUGUGCUGUGAGGCAUGCUGGAGGUAUCAGAAGUGCGAAUGCUGACAUAAGUAACGAUAAAGCGGGUGAAAAGCCCGCUCGCCGGAAGACCAAGGGUUCCUGUCCAACGUUAAUCGGGGCAGGGUGAGUCGACCCCUAAGGCGAGGCCGAAAGGCGUAGUCGAUGGGAAACAGGUUAAUAUUCCUGUACUUGGUGUUACUGCGAAGGGGGGACGGAGAAGGCUAUGUUGGCCGGGCGACGGUUGUCCCGGUUUAAGCGUGUAGGCUGGUUUUCCAGGCAAAUCCGGAAAAUCAAGGCUGAGGCGUGAUGACGAGGCACUACGGUGCUGAAGCAACAAAUGCCCUGCUUCCAGGAAAAGCCUCUAAGCAUCAGGUAACAUCAAAUCGUACCCCAAACCGACACAGGUGGUCAGGUAGAGAAUACCAAGGCGCUUGAGAGAACUCGGGUGAAGGAACUAGGCAAAAUGGUGCCGUAACUUCGGGAGAA
rnacentral:rRNA from 1 species